rnacentral:rRNA from 1 species
AUUGAACGCUGGCGGCAGGCCUAACACAUGCAAGUCGAACGGUAACAGGAAGAAGCUUGCUUCUUUGCUGACGAGUGGCGGACGGGUGAGUAAUGUCUGGGAAACUGCCUGAUGGAGGGGGAUAACUACUGGAAACGGUAGCUAAUACCGCAUAACGUCGCAAGACCAAAGAGGGGGACCUUCGGGCCUCUUGCCAUCGGAUGUGCCCAGAUGGGAUUAGCUAGUAGGUGGGGUAACGGCUCACCUAGGCGACGAUCCCUAGCUGGUCUGAGAGGAUGACCAGCCACACUGGAACUGAGACACGGUCCAGACUCCUACGGGAGGCAGCAGUGGGGAAUAUUGCACAAAGGGCGCAAGCCUGGUGCAGCCAUGCCGCGUGUAUGAAGAAGGCCUUCGGGUUGUAAAGUACUUUCAGCGGGGAGGAAGGGAGUAAAGUUAAUACCUUUGCUCAUUGACGUUACCCGCAGAAGAAGCACCGGCUAACUCCGUG